AGAGUUUGAUCAUGGCUCAGAUUGAACGCUGGCGGCAUGCCUUACACAUGCAAGUCGAACGGCAGCGCGGGGCAACCUGGCGGCGAGUGGCGAACGGGUGAGUAAUAUAUCGGAACGUACCCUGGAGUGGGGGAUAACGUAGCGAAAGUUACGCUAAUACCGCAUACGAUCUAAGGAUGAAAGCAGGGGACCGCAAGGCCUUGUGCUCCUGGAGCGGCCGAUAUCUGAUUAGCUAGUUGGUGGGGUAAAGGCCUACCAAGGCAUCGAUCAGUAGCUGGUCUGAGAGGACGACCAGCCACACUGGAACUGAGACACGGUCCAGACUCCUACGGGAGGCAGCAGUGGGGAGUUUUGGACAAUGGGCGAAAGCCUGAUCCAGCAAUGCCGCGUGAGUGAAGAAGGCCUUCGGGUUGUAAAGCUCUUUUGUCAGGGAAGAAACGGUGUGGGCUAAUAUCCCGCACUAAUGACGGUACCUGAAGAAUAAGCACCGGCUAACUACGUGCCAGCAGCCGCGGUAAUACGUAGGGUGCAAGCGUUAAUCGGAAUUACUGGGCGUAAAGCGUGCGCAGGCGGUUUUGUAAGUCUGUCGUGAAAUCCCCGGGCUCAGCCUGGGAAUUGCGAUGGAGACUGCAAGGCUAGAAUCUGGCAGAGGGGGGUAGAAUUCCACGUAGCAGUGAAAUGCGUAGAGAUGUGGAGGAACACCGAUGGCGAAGGCAGCCCCCUGGGUCAAGAUUGACGCUCAUGCACGAAAGCGUGGGGAGCAAACAGGAUUAGAUACCCUAGUAGUCC
rnacentral:rRNA from 1 species